ACCCGUUGAUCCUGCGGGAGAUCGCUGCUAUCUGGAUUCGACUAAGCCAUGCAAGUCAGGGGACCUUGUGUCACCGGCAGAAUGCUCAGUAACACGUCGAUAAUCUACCCAUAAGUACGGGAUAACCUUGGAAAACUGAGGCUAAUACCGUAUAGGAAAAAAUUUCUGGAACGAUUUUUUUCCCAAAGGUAACGCUUAUGGAUGAGUCGGCGGCGGAUUAGGCUGUUGGUGAGGUAAUGGCUCACCAAACCUAAGAUCUGUAGGGGCUCUGAGAGGAGUAGCCCCGAGAAGGGCACUGAGAUACUGGCCCUAGCCCUACGGGGUGCAGCAGGCGCGAAACCUUUACAAUGCACGCAAGUGUGAUAAGGGAAUCCAGAGUGCUCAAGUUUUCUUGGGCUUUUUUUCAAGAGUAAAAAUCUUGGAGAAUAAGUGGUGGGAAAGACUGGUGCCAGCCGCCGCGGUAACACCAGCGCCACAAGUGGGGAUCCUGUUUAUUUGGCCUAAAGCGUCCGUAGCUGGUUUAGUAAAUCUCUUGUGAAAUCGUUCGGCUCAACCGAGCGGCGUGCAGGAGAGACUGCUAAGCUAGGGACUGGGAGGAGUUAGAGGUAUGCCAAGGGGAGCGGUAAAAUGCUAUAAUCCUUGGUGGACCACCUGUGGCGAAGGCGUCUAACUAGAACAGGUCCGACAGUGAGGGACGAAAGCCAGGGGAGCAAACCGGAUUAGAUACCCGAGUAGUCCUGGCUGUAAACUCUGCGAGCUAGGUGUUGCAUAUUCUCCGUGAAUGUGCAGUGUCGUAGCGAAGGUGAUAAGCUCGCCGCCUGGGAAGUAUGGUCGCAAGGCUGAAACUUAAAGGAAUUGGCGGGGGAGCACUACAAGGGGUGCGGCGUGCGGUUUAAUUUAACUCCACACAGAGAAUCUCACCAGCAGCGACGGCAGGAUGAAGGUCAGUCUAAAGGGCUUACCUGACGAGCCGAGAGGUAGUGCAUGGCCGCCGUCAGCUCGUGCCGUAAGGUGUCCUGUUAAGUCAGGCAACGAGCGAGACCUGUAUCCACAAUUGCUAACGACUCAAAUUGAGAAUCGAGCACAUUGUGGGGACUGCCUUGGAAACAAGGAGGAAGGUGCAGGCAACGGUAGGUCUGUAUGCUCCGAAUCUGCUGGGCUACACGCGCGCAACAAUGGUACGGACAAUGGGCUGCAACUCCGAAAGGAGGAGCUAAACCUCGAAACCGUAUCCAAGUUCAGAUUGAGGAUUGUAACCCAUCCUCAUGACGCUGGAAUCCCUAGUAAUCGAAUGUCAUCAGCGUUCGGUGAAUAUGUCCCUGCUCCUUGCACACACCGCCCGACAAACCACCCGAGUAGGGUCUAGAUGAGGCUUGGUUUUUAAUCAAGUCGAAUCUAAGCUUUGCGAGGAGGGUUAAGUCGUCACAAGGUA
rnacentral:rRNA from 1 species